AGUCUCAUUAUCAAGAGUCACUAUGAUCAGAGUUCUAGUCAUUUUUCAGUCAUUUUACUGGAUUCAAGGAGUCUCAGGGGCGAAUGAUGUCUCUCAGCCCAGCACACUCUGGGUUACAAUGGGUCAAUCAGCCACAAUAAACUGCUCACACAGCAAGAGUGCAUCGUACGAUCGGAUGUACUGGUUUCGUCAGCUUCAUGGACAGAGCAUGGAGCUCGUUGUGUACUCUCCCACAUACGGCACUCCAGAUUUCGGAAACUUCAGCCAAAGUAAAUUCUCAGUCAAUAAAACCACCAGUGAGCGCGGCUCAUUUACAGUGAAAGAUGUGGAUUAUAAUGACAGAGGUGUGUAUUUCUGUGCCGUGAGUGAACACAGUGUUAUAACCACAUGA